GAUGAAUGCUGGCGGCGUGCCUAACACAUGCAAGUCGAGCGGCAGCGCGAGUAGUUUACUACUUGGCGGCGAGCGGCGGACGGCUGAGUAACACGUGGGAACGUGCCCCAAAGUGAGGGAUAACGCACUGAAAGGUGUGCUAAUACCGCAUAUGGUCUUCGGAUUAAAGAAUUUAUUCGCUUUAGGAGCGGCCCGCGUCGGAUUAGGUAGUUGGUAGGGUAAUGGCCUACCAAGCCGACGAUCCGUAGCUGGUCUGAGAGGAUGAUCAGCCAGACUGGAACUGAGACACGGUCCAGACUCCUACGGGAGGCAGCAGUGAGGAAUCUUCCACAAUGGGCGAAAGCCUGAUGGAGCAACGCCGCGUGCAGGAUGAAGGCCUUCGGGUUGUAAACUGCUUUUAUAAGUGAAGAAUAUGACGGUAACUUAUGAAUAAGCACCGGCUAACUACGUGCCAGCAGCCGCCGCAG
rnacentral:rRNA from 1 species